UACGUAUGGGGCAAGCGUUAUCCGGAUUUACUGGGUGUAAAGGGAGCGCAGGCGGCCUGGCAAGCCUGAUGUGAAAUACCGGGGCCCAACCCCGGGGCUGCAUUGGGAACUGCCAGGCUGGAGUGCCGGAGAGGCAGGCGGAAUUCCUAGUGUAGCGGUGAAAUGCGUAGAUAUUAGGAGGAACACCAGUGGCGAAAGCGGCUCUCUGGUCUGUAACUGACGCUGAGGUUCGAAAGCGUGGGUAGCAAACAGG
rnacentral:rRNA from 1 species